UACGUAGGGUGCGAGCGUUGUUCGGAAUUACUGGGCGUAAAGGGCGCGUAGGCGGCCUGUUAAGUCGAACGUGAAAUCCCCGGGCUCAACCCGGGAACUGCGUCCGAUACUGGCAGGCUUGAAUCCGGGAGAGGGAUGCGGAAUUCCAGGUGUAGCGGUGAAAUGCGUAGAUAUCUGGAGGAACACCGGUGGCGAAGGCGGCAUCCUGGACCGGUACUGACGCUGAGGUGCGAAAGCGUGGGGAGCAAACAGG
rnacentral:rRNA from 1 species